GUGCUCACUUUGGCAGUACAUAUACUAAAAUUGGAAUGACACAGAGAAGAUUAGCAUGGCCCAUGCACGAGGAUGACAUGUAAAUUUGUAAAGCGUUCCAUAGUUAA
ensembl:snRNA U6 U6 spliceosomal RNA